rnacentral:RNase_P_RNA from 3 species
AGAGCGAGCUGGGCGAUCGUCGGUCGUUUGCUACUGUGAUCCCGCGAGGGUUCAUGGCGGCGCGGCGGGAGGAAAGUCCGGGCUCCAAAGAACGCCGUGGUGGGUAACGCCCACCGAGCGCAAGCUCCGGGAAUAGUGCAACAGAAAGCAAACCGCCGAUCGGGCCGCUUGCGGCUCGAGGUAAGGGUGAAACGGUGAGGUAAGAGCUCACCAGCGGUCCGGGCGACCGGCCGGCUAGGUAAACCCCACGGGGAGCAAGGUCAAACAGGUGGAAGUCCGCCGAGCGGGCCGCAAGGUUCGCACGGCGGCGCGGUUCGGUUCGGGCCGCUCGACCACCGGGUAGGCUGCUGGAACCGUCGAGUAAUCGCCGGUCUAGAGAAAUGAUCGUCGCCGCCGACGACCGCAAGGCCGCCGGCGAGACAGAACCCGGCUUAUAGGCUCGCUCUGAGU